GUGUAUCCUUAUCCAUGUUAUUAUACCCUCACAAAAUACAAAAAAAUAACAAACUCCCUAACAAAUUUUAUCCUAUCCUAACACCUAUAUCUUAUUCUAACAACCUACCCAAUCAAAAUAACCCACUUCACUAGAUAUAUCCCAUAAACCAGCAAAAGGUAUCAAGAAAAAAUGAGUACCAUAAUAUCCUAGAUAUUUUGAAAAGGCAAGUUUCCGGGUGAUGCACGACAUCCCAUCAUCAGAUAAAGGAAUCAAGUGAGCUGUGACGUCAGUUAAUUCGCCAUUGCAACAUACAGCAAAUCCCAAGAAGCUAUCAUGUAUGUACCAAUUCUUAGGCAAAAAGACUGAUACACCAACAAUUCCCUCGUAUGGAAACGUUGGCAUCCCAUGCCACUGCAAACCUGUAAUCACUCUUAGUGACAAGGAGUCUGAAGCAGAGAUGCCAUGCUGCAAUAAUGAGAUAUUCUGAAAUAACGAAUUACAGAUCCAAUAAUUUGUCCAAUCUGCUUCAAUUGUAUCUAAUUGAACUGGUAAUUCUGGCAGCUGUGUAAGCCUCUUGCAAUGUGAUACGUCCAAGCACCGAAGAGCACCAAGUUGGCUAUGCUUCGAGGCAAAUGCCCAUAAUUAUGUCCACUGAGAUUCAACCUGUUCAAAGAGGAUAAGCAUCCAAUGUCAUUCGGAAGUUCUCCAUCUAUUAGAUUGCAGUAACUGAGAUUUAAAGUCUCCCAGUUUUUCAUCCCCACGAUAAGUUCAAAAUUAAUCUUCUUGCAAUGUGAUAAGUCCAAGAAUCGAAGAGCACCAAGUUGGGCUAUGCUCUGAGGAAACUACUCAAAACUAUUUCCGCUAAGUGUUAACUCUUCGAAAGAAUGUAAGCAUCCAAUGUCAUCCAAUGUAACUCAAAAUUUGCACUGCAGAAGUAAUCCAAAACCAGAGUAAAAAUAUUGUUAGAACCACUUACAAGUAAUCCAAAUAUGGAUGUUACACCUUAAUUUAUCAAUUCAAUGUCAGCAAGAAAGCAGACCAUAAGAUUUAAAAAAACAGCCUACACCUAAUCCAAAAGGAGCCAUCACAACAUCAGAUUGAAUCAUUAAUUAGUGCAAAGAGUCUCGACAGCAAAGAGUUGUGAAGUAAUUUGACAGAUGAUAAGAUCUUAACUAAACCACAGCUAGCGGUUUAUCAUUUAUCUGAUGUAAUAUCACUUUGCCUUUUCUCUGCAGAUGCAUCCUCAUCGACUAAUGAAAAUUAUAUCGCAAGUAAAAAGGUGAGCAUCGGGUUCUGAUGGAGAGUAGUUUGAAGGAAUGAUGAUAUGGAGGUGCAGAAAGUUCGUUUUUCCGUUAUAUAUAAGAAAGUACCCCACAUGUAGCAAAAGUGUAUUGCUAAAGUUAGAGAAUGAUUGUUACCUUCCGGCAAGAAAAUGAGAACAAAGGAAAAUAGCAUUGAAGUAUUCAUCUGCUAAAAAAAACCACGAUACUUCAAAAAACGAGUAUGAUAAUUGAUUGCCGAGGAGAAAUCCUAGGCCCUUGAUUCUCACUGAAAAGGCACUAAACUAGUUAAAGAAACGACAUAAUUUAUUUGAACAAACCGCUUUAGAGCCAGUUAAGUUGCAAAAAGAAGUUGGCCAUAAGGAAAUCUGAACACGGUUAUACGUUACUUUUCAUGGCAUCAAAUCUAAUUUUUAUAGGGAAAGCCCGUGGAAUAUCAAGGAUUUUCAUUUUUCUUUUCUGUGACAGCAUUAGUAUAUUCUGCACUUCUUAAAAUCUUUUCAAAACAGACAGCCUAAAUUUCUCGUAUCCAUUACUUAAAUAGUGGCUUUUUCAUCAUCGUAAAUUCCCCAAUUUUUAGCAUUAUAUUUUCAUUUGAGAGUUCACUAAUUUUCAAAUCAUUGAUUUGGGAGUACUAAUUGACCUAAUAUGGCAUGAUUCCAGGAUCUGAUUUGAGCAUCAAAAUUUCAACACUUAAUGUUAAGUCUUGAACUCACCUUGGUUAAUCCAACAGAAACUUUAGAUUACCACGUGUGCCAUGCCAUGUUGGUUUUCGUGACUCUAUUGAGCAUCACUGUUGCAUCUGCACAAGUGUGACUCGUAAAAGCUCCUCCAGUAAGAGCAUCAGCUAUGCCUUGGUAUUUGCAUUUAAAGACCUACGGAAGAUGUCUAACAAACUCUCGUCAGGUACCUGUGAUUAGGACAUUACUUCAUCUUUCUGUUGAACCUUAACUAUGACUCGUACGAAGAUUCUAUACUUAGUUUCUUGAUGUUAUACAUUUCGUCUUUUAGCUGCAACACUUAGGAUAGUGAGAAAACUCUUUUCAAGAAAACCCUCUUCAACUCCUUCCAGAUAGUGAUGAGUCAUUAGGUCAUUCUACCAACCAAAGAGUUGCUUCACCUGCUAAUGAAAAAGGAAAGGUUAUCACAAUCUAAUUGCAUCUUGAGUCACACUAGGUAAUUUAUAUGCCUUAAAGAUCCUCAUAAAGUUCAAUAAAAGCAUAUUUGCAUCAUCAAUACUGUGCCCAAUGAAUACUCCUUUCAUGUUCAUCAACUGUAUCAUUGUGUUGGUAAUGGCAAACUUGGCCUAGUGGACUGUGUGCUCGAAACUAUGGCACCUAUAUCUUUUAGGUCAACAACAUCAUCAUCAUCAAACUGAGAGGUAUAUAGAUAGUGUUGUUGCGUCUGGCCUCUUCAUUUAGUGCAGCUUGAGGGGUGUAGACACAUGAUUUUGUCUUCUUAAAGUUCAAUUUUAUUCACUUUUAUCCAUUUUUACUUUAUCCUAGCAUGUACCUCAUCCAUAUUAUUAUACCCUCACAAAAUACAAAAAAAUAACAAAUUCCCUAACAAAUUCUAUCCUAUCCUAACCCCAACAUCUUAUCCUAACAACCUAUCCAAUCAAAAUAACCCACUUCACUACCCUACCCCACCUACCCUACCCCCACCCCUCCCAUGGAACACUUUACAGAGGACAAAAAGAAAAGGGAGGGGGACGGACAGUAAAUGCAAGGACCAUUUUUCCUUUGCUUUUUCAAUUCCACACACAGAAACACAAAAUUCCAAAAAUGGAUUCUUCUUCACAACACACACCACACAGAGACUCCAUUAACGUACACUCUCACUGAGCCAUACACACACACCCACACUCAAUUCACACACGGUAACCAGCCUCCACACACGCAUUGGGGCGGAAAGAUGAGAGAUUGAGGGUAACCAGAGAUCGGUGAAAUUGAGAGAAUCAGGGGAAAGAGAGUAAGUCUAUAGGGAGAUCGGAAAACGGUGAAGAAUCGAACAUUGGGGAAGAAGAGAGUGCAGAGAAAUAGCGAGAGAGCAACGGGGUUAGUUUGUUCCGGCGACCUAUCGCCGGUGAUCUCUGCCGACCAAAACGUCCCAUCGACAACCAUCAGCUCCCGUGCAUAUUUUCCGGCCAAAUCAUCCCAAAAGCUCACCUGAAAUCAAUUCGAGAACAGCGACCAAACGGUUUGAACGCACCCACCAAAAAAUGCCGUUGAAUCAACGUGGUUUCGGUCCGACAGUUACCGGAAAUAGCUGACCAAACAACCUUUAUUUUCUAAAUUUCAUCCUUGUC
rnacentral:lncRNA from 1 species